AGUGAACGCUGGCGGUAGGCCUAACACAUGCAAGUCGAACGGCAGCACAGGAGAGCUCGCUCUCGGGGUGGCGAGUGGCGGACGGGUGAGGAAUACAUCGGAAUCUACUCUGUCGUGGGGGAUAACGUAGGGAAACUGACGCUAAUACCGCAUACGACCUACGGGAGAAAGCAGGGGACCUUCGGGCCUUGCGCGAUUGAAUGAGCCGAUGUCGGCUUAGCUAGUUGGCGGGGUAAAGGCACACCAAGGCGACGAUCCGUAGCUGGUGUGAGGGGAUGAUCGGCCGCACUGGAACUGGGACACGGUCCAGACUCCUACGAGAGGCCGCAGUGGGGAAUAUUGGACAAUGGGCGCAAGCCUGAUCCAGCCAGACCGCGUGGGUGAAGAAGGCCUUCGGGUUGUAAAGCCGUUUUGUUGGGAGAGAAAUCCAGCUGGCUAAUACCCGGUUGGGAUGACGGUACCCAAAGAAUAAGCACCGGCUAACUUCGUGCCAGCCGCCGCCGUAA
rnacentral:rRNA from 1 species